GUCUACAAAUUCUUUCCGGCGUCUCACACCUGGAUCCCUUCUGCUGCAGUGUCAGCACCUUACCACUAGAUGGCGCUCCAGAGCCACUCAGACCGACUUUCUUAAGCCAGGCGUCCUUUUUCCCCCAAGACGCAGACUCACACACACUGGGUCUUCCUGUCCUCGCCUGUAAUCACUUGCCCACCUGCAGGCACAAGCACCAUCGCCCAGGGUUUACGAUGCUCCUGCGCCGGACCCCAACAUCCGGAGCGUUACUGCCAGGCCCCCCAGCGGUGUCUGCAGCUGGCCGCUCUCCCAGCCCAAGCCCCCACCCUGCCCCCUGUGCCAACGAAGGGAGAGCCCGCUGGGCGGAGUCAGGAAGGAUCAGCCUGGUAAAUAUGAGUAUCAUUUUCCAGGCUCCUUGUCCAGCCCAGUGAGGUUGUGGGCGGCCCCCUCCCCUCUAGGAGGGCGGAGGGGGGACUUGUCAUUGUGAUGGAGAUCAGCUGGAACCCCACUCAGACAAUGGGCCCCUGAGAACGCUUUGGCAUGGAAGGUGCUGGCACCUCCCAGGCUGUCUAUAACCAUAUUUUCUGCCUCUCUCUCUCAGUGAUUCUCAAUCUUAGCCCCUAAAAUUCCCGGUGCUCACACUCCAGACCACCACCAGAUGGGCAACUGGGAACACCCGAGACCAAAGUCAUCUCAGGACGUCAGAGCUGGGAGGCUGGAAGGACCCUAUGAGAUCAAGAUUAAUUUCUACAAAACCCAUGGAAUCUUUUGUAAAACAAGUCUUAAUAUUUUUA